AUGUAUCAAGAUGUACCUUUCACUUAAGAUCCAUGCAGGCGCAAGCUCUGGAUGAACUUCUGCGGUGACGUCGGCAUUCUUACAGGAGAACCCAAGAUUC